CGGAUUAAGGAAACCGGCGCACGGGUGCGUAACGCGUAUGCAACUUGCCCUUAUCAGGAGGAUAGCCCGGGGAAACUCGGAUUAAUACUCCAUAAGAUUUUGAUUGGCAUCGAUUAAAAUUGAAAGAUUUAUUGGAUAAGGAUAGGCAUGCGUCAGAUUAGUUAGUUGGUAGUGUAACGGACUACCAAGGCGAUGAUCUGUAGGGGGCCUGAGAGGGUGAACCCCCACACUGGUACUGAGACACGGACCAGACUCCUACGGGAGGCAGCAGUGAGGAAUAUUGGACAAUGGAGGGAACUCUGAUCCAGCCAUCCCGCGUGCAGGAAGACGGCCCUAUGGGUUGUAAACUGCUUUUGUAUGGGGAUAAAUCUACUUACGUGUAGGUAGUUGAAGGUACCAUACGAAUAAGCAUCGGCUAACUCCGUGCCAGCAGCCGCGGUAAUACGGAGGAUGCAAGCGUUAUCCGGAUUCAUUGGGUUUAAAGGGUCCGUAGGCGGGCUGAUAAGUCAGUGGUGAAAUUUUGUCGCUCAACGAUAAAACUGCCAUUGAUACUGUUAGUCUUGAGUGAUAUUGAAGUAGCUGGAAUGUGUAGUGUAGCGGUGAAAUGCAUAGAUAUUACACAGAACACCGAUUGCGAAGGCAGGUUACUAAGUAUUAACUGACGCUGAAGGACGAAAGCGUGGGGAGCGAACAGGAUUAGAUACCCUGGUAGUCCACGCA
rnacentral:rRNA from 1 species